UACGUAGGCAGCAAGCGUUGUUCGGAGUUACUGGGCGUAAAGGGUGUGUAGGCGGUUUUGUAAGUCUGGUGUGAAAUCUCCCGGCUCAACUGGGAGGGGGCGCCGAAAACUGGAAGGCUAGAGUGCGGGAUGGGAGAGUGGAAUUCCUGGUGUAGCGGUGAAAUGCGUAGAUAUCAGGAGGAACACCUGUGGUGUAGACGGCUCUCUGGGCCGCAACUGACGCUGAGGCGCGAAAGUCAGGGGAGCAAACGGG
rnacentral:rRNA from 1 species